GGGCACCUAGCGCAAUGGUGAGAGCAUCCGCCUCAUAAGCGGACGGUUGCGGAUUCGAGCCCAGCGGUGCCCACCA
rnacentral:tRNA from 1 species